rnacentral:rRNA from 1 species
AACGAACGCUGGCGGCGCGUCUUAAACAUGCAAGUCGAACGGCAGGAAGGGGCUUGCCCCUUCUGAGAGUGGCGGACUGGUGAGUAACACGUGGGUGACAUACCUUUUAGUUGGGGAUAGCUAUUAGAAAUAGUAGGUAAUACCGAAUGUGACCGUAUUUAUUAGAAGGAUACGAGGAAAGGAGCUAAGGCUUCGCUAAAAGAAUGGCUCGCGGCCCAUUAUGCUAGUUGGUGAGGUAACGGCCCACCAAGGCGAUGAUGGGUAUCCGGCCUGAGAGGGUGAACGGACACAUUGGGACUGAGAUACGGCCCAGACUUCUACGGGAGGCAGCAGUUAAGAAUAUUCCGCAAUGGACGCAAGUCUGACGGAGCGACGCCGCGUGGAUGAAGAAUGCCGAAAGGUUGUAAAAUCCUUUUAAGCCUGAUGAAUAAGCACAAUAGGGAAUGAUUGUGCGGUGACCGUAGGGCUUGAAUAAGCACCGGCUAAUUACGUGCCAGCAGCCGCGGUAACACGUAAGGUGCGAGCGUUGUUCGGAAUUAUUGGGCGUAAAGGGCAUGUAGGCGGAUAGGCAAGCUUGGUGUGAAAUGUUACAGCUUAACUGUGAGACAGCAUUGAGAACUGCCGAUCUUGAAUUACUGAAGGGUAACCAGAAUUCCACGUGUAGGGGUGAAAUCUGUAGAUAUGUGGAAGAAUACCAAUGGCGAAGGCAGGUUACCGGCAGAUAAUUGACGCUGAGUGCGAAAGUGCGGGAGCGAACAGG